GACGAACGCUGGCGGCGUGCUUAACACAUGCAAGUCGAACGAAGUGGCGAACGGGUGAGUAACGCGUAAUCAACCUGCCCUUCAGAGGGGGACAACAGUUGGAAACGACUGCUAAUACCGCAUACUGAAGUCGUGGAUUGCGUCUGAUUAGCUAGUUGGGGGGGUAACGGCCACCAAAGGCGAGGAUCAGUAGCCGGGCUUGGAGGAGGAACGGCAACAUUGGGACUGAGACACGGCCCAGACUCCUACGGGAGGCAGCAGUGGGGAAUUUUGGACAAUGGGCGCAAGCCUGAUCCAGCCAUGCCGCGUGUCUGAAGAAGGCCUUCGGGUUGUAAAGGACUUUUGUCAGGGAAGCGGUACCUGAAGAAUAAGCACCGGCUAACUACGUGCCAGCAGCCGCGGUAAUAC
rnacentral:rRNA from 1 species